rnacentral:misc_RNA from 1 species
ACGAAUUGCGUUCGGGGUUGUUGCUGGCUCUCCUUUCGGGGGGAGUAUGUGCACGCCUCGCAUCCAUUUCAACCUCACUUGUGCACUUCAGAGGACCUUUUGGUUCUCUUUUUCACACAAACCUCUGUAUAGUCAUUGUAGAACGUCUUGUAUUAAACUAAAUA